GCAAGGGUGGUGUGCAAGGGUGGUGUGCAAGGUUGGUGUGCAAGGUUGGUGUUAAUAUUAAUUCAAGAACCAAGAGGAGGAUUAGAUAUCAGUUCAAUUAAAAUAAAACAUUUGAAACCACCAGUUGGUAAUAAUUGGCUAGUCAGUAUUAGUAAAAAAGCAUGAAGAGCCUGUUGUCAUUGGACUAUUUACAAUAUGCUUUGAUAUAGAUCAUUGUCAUUUCCCCAGAAUCAUUCAGUGGAAGUAAAUAAGCAGAGGUAACACUUAAAAGAGUGAUAUUCCUGUGCUGGCUAAAUAUGUAAAGCAGAAAAUGUUUAUGUUAAGCAGAGUACUGGAACUAUUAUACAGUGUAGGGGUCUAUGGAAUACUCAAUGGAAAUUGGUCCAUCUGAGUGAGAUCUUCACUUACCAUUUUAAAUGGAUUUUGAACUUGAUCUUGUUACUUACUAAUAUGAAUUAUUUGAGGUAGAAACAGAGUGUCUUACUUCACAGGGUAAUGCGGGGAAUUUGGCAAGGGCAGGGAUUCGGUACAGAGGGUGAAUGGAUUGGUCUACAAACAAGAAAUCCGAGAAAAUUUUUGAAAUUCAUUAACAACGUCGAAAGUAGCAUACUUCAAGAGAAAAUAUGCAGAAGAAGAAGAUUUACAUAAAGUUUACAAUGGGUACUUUCCAAAAAACUUGAUCUUUCCCGAGGAUCGAACAUGUAUACUGAGACUUUCACUAGAAAAAUUAAGGAUUCUUGAAGAUCCUGAAAUCUAUCUUCGAAGGGCUGUGUUAAUAAACAAUUUAUUAAGGAAAAUCCACAUUGAAACAGAGAAAGAAGUCUAUGAGUAUGCUGAACAGUUUAACAAGGCCUCGACACACCUAUAUUCAGACGCACAGAAGAGAGUGAAAUAUAUGAUGAAAGAUUAUAGUGGAUGCUCCCAGUCUUUGUAUUAUGAAGAGAUUGGUUCAUAUUCCUUUGUGCCUUUUUCUUCAAGCAAUGUCAUUUAUGGACUUGGUUUCCCAAAUGGCUAUUUGGGAAGAAGUACCUCCUGAGGUGGAAUACCAUACAGGAUGAGCUGCUACUCAUCAACUGAAUCUGCAUUUUAGUCCUUAUGUAUAUUCUCUGAUUAGACGUGUGUGAGAAAGAAUGGCAGAUGCUGGUUUAAAUCGAAGGUAGACACAAAAUGCUAGAGUAACUCAACGCGUGAGGCAGCAUCUCUGGAGAGAAGGA